AGUCGAACGGGGUUAUUCAGGAAAUUUCCUUCGGGGAAUGGAAUCUUUAACCUAGUGGCGGACGGGUGAGUAACGCGUGAGCAAUCUGCCUUCGGAUGGGGGAUAACAGCCGGAAACGGCUGCUAAUACCGCAUAACACAUGGGAUUCGCAUGUUUCUCAUGUCAAAGAUUUAUCGUCCGGAGAUGAGCUCGCGUCUGAUUAGCUGGUUGGCGGGGUAACGGCCCACCAAGGCGACGAUCAGUAGCCGGACUGAGAGGUUGAACGGCCACAUUGGGACUGAGACACGGCCCAGACUCCUACGGGAGGCAGCAGUGGGGAAUAUUGCGCAAUGGGGGCAACCCUGACGCAGCAACGCCGCGUGAUUGAAGAAGGCCUUCGGGUUGUAAAGAUCUUUAAUCGGGGACGAAUUUUGACGGUACCCGAAGAAUAAGCUCCGGCUAACUACGUGCCAGCAGCCGCGGUAAUACGUAGGGAGCAAGCGUUAUCCGGAUUUACUGGGUGUAAAGGGCGUGUAGGCGGGCAUGCAAGCCAGAAGUGAAAUCUGGGGGCUUAACCCCCAAACUGCUUUUCGAACUGCGUGUCUUGAGUGAUGGAGAGGCAGGCGGAAUUCCCAGUGUAGCGGUGAAAUGCGUAGA
rnacentral:rRNA from 1 species